CCACUGAUAACCUCCAUGAGAAAUGAAUUCCCAAUGGGUGACAAAACUUCAGCUUUAAGAGGUUAAAAGACUUGUCCAGAGUCAUGUUAACAGACAGGAUCUCCCUCUGUUACCCAGGCUGGAGUGCAGCAGCGCAAUCUCAGCUCACUGCACCCUCCACCUCCCAGGCUCAGGAGAUUCUCCUGCUUCAGCCUCCCAAGUAGCUGGGAUUACAAGCGUGCACCACCAAGCCCGGCUGAUUUUCUGUAUUUUAGUAGAGGUGGGGUUUCACCUAAUAUUAAAGUCCAUCAUCUUGUACUAAAGAUAUAAAAUGUUGACCUUUCCU